UUGGAGGGCAAGUCUGGUGCCAGCAGCCGCGGUAAUUCCAGCUCCAAUAGCGUAUAUUAAAGUUGUUGCAGUUAAAAAGCUCGUAGUUGAAUUUCGGAAUCUGUCCGUCGGUCGGGCUUCACUGUCCGUACUGGUGUGAUGGGUUUCUACCUUCUGAAUAACCGGCAUGUCAUUAAUUUGGUGCGCCGGGGAAGCAGAACUAUUACCUUGAAAAAAUUAGAGUGCUUAAAGCAGGCUAUCGCCUGAAUAGAUUAGCAUGGAAUAAUAAAAUAGGACGGCAUGGUUCUAUUUUGUUGGUUUCUAGGAUCACCGUAAUGAUUAAUAGGGAUAGUUGGGGGCAUUAGUAUUCAAUUGUCAGAGGUGAAAUUCUUGGAUUUAUUGAAGACUAACUUCUGCGAAAGCAUUUGCCAAGGAUGUUUUCAUUAAUCAAGAACGAGAGUUAGGGGAUCGAAGACGAUCAGAUACCGUCGUAGUCUUAACCAUAAACUAUGCCGACUAGGAAUCGGACGAUGUUAAUUUUAUAAUGACUCGUUCGGCGCCUUACGGGAAAC
rnacentral:rRNA from 1 species